AGUGAACGCUGGCGGUAGGCCUAACACAUGCAAGUCGAACGGCAGCACAGUAAGAGCUUGCUCUUACGGGUGGCGAGUGGCGGACGGGUGAGGAAUACAUCGGAAUCUACUUUUUCGUGGGGGAUAACGUAGGGAAACUUACGCUAAUACCGCAUACGACCUACGGGUGAAAGCAGGGGAUCUUCGGACCUUGCGCGAUUGAAUGAGCCGAUGUCGGAUUAGCUAGUUGGCGGGGUAAAGGCCCACCAAGGCGACGAUCCGUAGCUGGUCUGAGAGGAUGAUCAGCCCAACUGGAACUGAGAAACGGUCCAGACUCCUACGGGAGGCAGCAGUUGGGAAUAUUUGGCAAUGGGGGCAAGCCUGAUCCAGCCAAACCGCGUGGGUGAAGAAGGCCUUCGGGUUGUAAAGCCCUUUUGUUGGGAAAGAAAAGCAGCAGGUUAAUACCCCGCUGUUCUGACGGUACCCAAAGAAUAAGCACCGGCUAACUUCGUG
rnacentral:rRNA from 1 species